rnacentral:rRNA from 1 species
GACGAACGCUGGCGGCGUGCCUAAUACAUGCAAGUUGAGCGAUGAAGAUUGGUGCUUGCACCAAUUCGAAGAGCAGCGAACGGGUGAGUAACGCGUGGGGAAUCUGCCUUUGAGCGGGGGACAACAUUUGGAAACGAAUGCUAAUACCGCAUAACAACUUUAAACAUAAGUUUUAAGUUUGAAAGAUGCAAUUGCAUCACUCAAAGAUGAUCCCGCGUUGUAUUAGCUAGUUGGUGAGGUAAAGGCUCCCCAAGGCGAUGAUACAUAGCCGACCUGAGAGGGUGAUCGGCCACAUUGGGACUGAGACACGGCCCAAACUCCUACGGGAGGCAGCAGUAGGGAAUCUUCGGCAAUGGACGAAAGUCUGACCGAGCAACGCCGCGUGAGUGAAGAAGGUUUUCGGAUCGUAAAACUCUGUUGGUAGAGAAGAACGUUGGUGAGAGUGGAAAGCUCAUCAAGUGACGGUAACUACCCAGAAAGGGACGGCUAACUACGUG